rnacentral:rRNA from 1 species
AUGUUUUACUAUUUUAUUUUCAGAAUGGCUCGCACCAAGGUGACGGCUCGGAAAUCCACUGGAGGAAAAACCCCUCGGAAGCAACUUGCUGCAAUGAUUGCCGCUCGUAAGAUAGCUCCUUCAAUGGGACAAGUGAAGAAGCCUCACCGGUACCGCCCUGGAACUGUAGCUCUACGUGAAAUCCGCAAGUAUCAGAAGUGCACUGAGCUACUCAUAAGGAAGCUGCCCUUUCAAAGGCUUGUUAGGGAGCUUGCCAUGGCUUCAAAGAGUGAUCUACGGUUCCAAAGCCAUGCGGUUCUUGCUUUGCAAGAGGCAGCAGAGGCAUACCUAGUGGGUCUCUUUGAAGACACCAACCUAUGUGCUAUUCAUGCCAACCGUGUCACCAUCAUGUCCAAGGAUGUUCAACUUGCUAGGAGGAUCCGUGGCGAGAGGCCUUGA